UGGGAAGGUAUUCUGCUUCUCUGGGCUCUGGUAGUCUCCUGCUUACUUUGCAAGGUCCUGAAGAGCCAGUACACUUAGGUGUCAUUCAUGAUGUUGCCAAACUCUAAUAGCUACUUGGUUCUUACAAUUUUUUUUUUGGACAGGCAGAGUUAGACAGUGAGAGAGAGAGAGACAGAGAGAAAGGUCUUCCUUCCAUUGGUUCACUCCCCAAAUGGCCGCUAUGGCCAGCGCUCUGUGCUGAUCCAAAGCCAGGAGCCAGGUGCUUCCUCCUGGUUUCCCAUGCGGGUGCAGGUGCCCAAGCACUUGGGCCAUCCUCCACUGCCCUCCUGGGCCACAGCAGAGAGCUGGACUGGAAGAGGCACAACCGGGACAGAAUCUGGCGCCCCAACUGGGACUAGAACCUGGGGUGCCGGCUCUGCAGGCAGAGGAUUAGCCAAGUGAGCCACGGCGCCAGCCAGUUCUCACAAGUUUUAAGAAGUGAUUUUAAACUGCCAUAUCAGAGAUGAGAAAACUGACUACUAAAGACGUUAAUGAAGAUGGAUGAGCUGGUAGAGCCAGGAUUGGAAACAAGGUGCUCGAGGCCCCAAGUCCAAGCUCCAACCACAACCCUGAUCGCUUAACUUGCAUGUAAAGUCUCUGGAAAAGGGCAGGCUGAGGGCUUGCAGUUAAGAUGCUUGUGUCCCACAUCCAGGUACCUGGGUUCAAUACCUGGCUCUGCUCCUGCUCCAGCUUUGCACAACUAAUGCACACCCUGGUAGGCAACAGAUGAUGGCUCAAGUACUCUGAUCUCUGGCACUCACGUGAGGGCCCUGACCUGAGUUCCCUCCUCUCGGCUUCAGUCUCCAUCAGUGGGCUGUUGAAGUUUUGGGGAAUAAAUGGUAGGUGGGAGCACUCUCUCUGUCUCUGUCUCUCUGCUGUUUCCGUCUCUGUCUUGUUCUGCCUCUCAAAUUCAUACAUAAAUAUUUAAAAGAGAAGGGAAAUAGCAGGGUGGUAGCUAUUGUUGUUUCCAUGACUACAGGCACAUAAACAUUAGCUUGAUUGCAGCUAGCAUGCAGUGGACUCACUGUGCACUUCUGAUUUACCAGCAGGUGGCAGAGUGGUGAGGGCCCAGGGAUUACAGAAAAUUCCUGAAAGGCAGCUGGACAGGAAAUGAGAAUCAGAAUGAGGAUCCCGGCUCCAGCUCCACCAAGGUGUCCACACCACUACCUUGCCAGCUAGGUGUGUCCAUAGCCAGAUACUGUCAAAGACCCUAGAAAAAAAUCAAUUAGGCAAAACUCCAGGGCCAGGAUGGCUCAGCAAGAAGAGGUGUGCGCCCAUGGCUAUAAAAGCACUGAACUAUUACUUUUCCUACAGCUCCAAAAACUACAUUUUUCUACAUUGCUAUGUAAGCCUCUUAAGGAUACAAUUCUUAGAAUCAAGUCCAAAACUGCAAUCCAAAAACCAUGGUGUACCAUGUAUGCAAGCUAACGACCAGCACAGGUGAGGAUGAUAAUGCUUGAGAAUAAAGCACUGGGUAAUGCUGCUUUUAAAAGAUGCACAUUUGGGGUGUGACAGUCAUCUUUCUGAGAGACUUCUGUCACUAGCAUGUCCCUAUUCUGUCACUAUCAUGUCCCAUUCUUGGAAUGGUGCAGGGACAGGAUGGGAAAGGGUCAGCUGAGGAGAUGGGCAGUGCUGGGAGUGGUGUACUGUGCCUGGGAAGAAUUGUCUUGGAGGUGGAAGGCAGGUAUUGGGUUCUUUGGUGAGCAGCCUACUUGUUUUUUACCAGAGCAACACCAGCCAUCAGGAUUUUUAGGGCUAGUUGGAUAUCCACACCCUGACUGAGUGUCCUGUUGCUGCUGUAAAGAAUUACCACAAAUGUAAGAGCCUAAAAUAAUCAAAUGUAUCAUCCUACACCUCCUUAGGUCAGAAAUCUGACACAGGUGUGUCCCCAGGAUUGUGUCCGUCACAGAAUGGUACACCCUCCUGGUUGCUCUAGGGGCACAUCCAUUUCCUUGCUAGAGGCUGCCAGUACUCCUUGGCUUGUGGCCUCUCCUCCAUCCUGAAAGCCAGCAGUGGCAUGUCAAAUUUUUCUGUGCUGCAUCCCUCCUGAUUCCCUCCUCUGCUUCUCUCUCUCACUGUCAGUGAUGCUCUUGGUUAUAUUGUGUCCAUCUGAUUUUAAAGUCCUCUGAUUAGCAACCUUAAUUCCAUUUACAGCUAUAAUUCUCCUUUACAAUGUAGGGUAAUAUAUUCAUGGCUCUAAGAAUGAGGGUGUGGGCAUCUUUGGGGGCCAUUAUUCUGUCUGCAACACACCCCUUGGUAACAAGCAUGGCCUUAAUAUACGUAUGCUGGGUACUCUGUAAAAGGCACUUAUUUUGUGAAAGAUACAAUUAGCAAGGACUUCUUAGUCAAAUGGAUCUGUGUCAGGGUUCAAGAGGUGCGUCUGACUAGUUUUAUCAUUUUGGGCCAAUUCCCUAACCUUCUGAAUUGUCAAUCUCCUCAGCUGUAAAAUGAGAAUAAUAAUAUACCUCCCUUAUUAGAUUGUUGUUGGCAUUAACUAAGAUAAUGCUGGAAAGCACUUAGCACACUGCCUGGCAAAUAGUAAACACUCACUGAAUGUUUCUGGUCAUUACUAUUAUGUGUCAUGGGGUUUGCGUGGUACCUGCCCUUGUGGAAUUUGGGGGCUAAGGCACCCCAAGCAUGUUGUUGUGGAAUAAGACAACAUCCAGGAAAUAGAUAGUGAGACAUAAUUAGAAAGUAUCAUACUUAAGUGCUAAGUGGGUAAGUGCUGUUGAGAGAAGUAAGAUAAGAUGUUUUCAACAAUCGGGAAAGGUCAGGAAUGGAGGAGGCAGCAUUGAUGACAGGUUGGACUUAGAAGGGGAGAGGAAAAAUGCUGGGCACGUGAGCAUGUACUCGUCAUCCCGCAAAGGGGCAGUAAGUAAGCCAUUUGCUUACAUCUUAUGUGAUGGAGGGUUUGUGUUGUGGUGUUCAUUCAUUCGCUCACUUCCACUUUCCCCCUGGAUGUUUAGGGGAAGGGAGGAAUGUGGCAGGCCUGGAAUGCUAGAUUAUAUAAUUAAGCAUUUUCCCAGUGAUGAUGAGGAGACAGGGAAGGUGUUAGAGCAGAGAUAGGUUUGUGAUGAAAGCAGUGUUGAGAAAGAUUAAUCAGAGUGGCAUGUGUGUAUGGAGAGGCUGGUGGCAGGUGAUGUAAUCGGGAUAUUUACAGCUGGCUAGAGGAACUGUGACGAUAGUCAGUCUGGGAAGCAAGAGCAAAGGGCCUUGGUGAUGGGUAAGACUUGGAGGGAGAGGGGAAAAGCUGACACACUGCGAGAACCUGGGAGAGAGAUCACAGCUGGGUCCUUAGGCGAGGAAGUCAUCAGCGUGGAGGUAGCAGCUACUUCACCGCUGUCCCCAGCCUUUUGUGAUUGGCCCAUGUCAGUGCCCACACUGCUGGGCUACCAACAGCACCCCUCUUCUCCUCACUCUCUGUGUCCCCUUUCACUCCUUGUUAGGGUGAACUGUGUCCCCUCCACAUGCAGAUGGUAAACCCUUAUCCCCUACUACCUCAGAAUGUGGCACUAUUUGAAGACAGAGCCUUUAAAGAGGUCAGCAUGUUAAAUGAGGUUGCCCAGGGGAGCUCUAGUCCAAUAUUACUGGUGUUAUAAGAAGAGGAGAUGAGGGUAGAGACAGGCACAGAGGAAAGACCCUGUGAAGACAGGGAGAAGGGGACCACCUGUGAGCCCAGGAGAGAGGCCUUCGAAGAAACCAACCCUGUUGACUCCUUGGUCUUGGACUUCUAGCCUCCAGAAUUAUCAAAAACAGCCCCAGAAGAUGUGUCCUUCCACUUCUGCCCAGAUGGGAGAUGCAGGUACCCAAGAGCAGUUCCAUGGCACUGCACCUGCUUCCUGGCCACUGCCCAGGGCGUUCCUGGGUGACAUUUCUGCGUACUUUGGCAGGCUUGAAUGCUUCAGAUUGCUUCUUCAGCACACUUGGGAUAUACAAGGCAGAACCAUGUCUCCAGAGACCACAGGGGUUUCAAGACAACUGAAUGCAAGAUAGGAAAGCAGAUAUCUUGGAGAAGUUAGACUGUGCAUCCCCUCUGGGACUUGUCUGUACAGCACAUUAUUGACUUCAAGGCAAGAGGCCACGAAAGUGUCUUUCCUUAAGACAGUAAACUCUCUGUUUUCUUUCUAAAGUGAUGGAAAAAAGGGCUGUUUUUGUUCCCUAUAUCAGUUUCCAGAAAUGAGUGUAUUGUACAAUGUGCUUCAAACUACAAUGCUACAGAAUAUGAUGUACUAUUACUUAGAUGAUUCAGAAGCUCCUCUGGGAUCUUGUUAAUAUAAAUAACCAGCCAAUGAAGCAAGUGGACUUACCUAUAACUGUCAAGGGAUGGUAGCAGAUGUCGGGAGAAUAAAGAAAUUAAUUACUGGUGGCAAAUGGAAGUCCUGGAAGCUGUUGUUUCGUAUUGAAAUUUAACUGCUGCCUUCCCCACAGCAAAACAGAAACUGGUGAGAUGGAGCCAGGAUGAGUAAGAGUGUAAGAGCUGUCAAGAAGGCAUCGCUGGAAGUCAAAUUUGUCAUUUUAUCUUUGGCAUUCGAGGAACUUUGAUUUUUCUGUCUAGAAGUAAUGCAUCUCCACUUAGGGGACAGCUGAGUGAGAACCUACUCCUGAAACAAGAUUUGUUCUGCUGGCUUCCUUCAAUUUGUCAAAAAGACAAAAAUCUCACCAGGCUCCAUUGGUAAUAAUGCCUUGAAAUUACUUGGAGUCAUCUUCCACCUGCUUUUCUAGUCUAUUAUCUAAAAUAUGUGGUAGGGCAGAAGAAAAUGAACACAUUUACAGCUGAACGUGCUGCUUGUAUUGUCAAAGCUAAUGAUUUUAGGCAAGGUGUUUAACCUUUGAUUAAAGUGAUCAGCGCCUAUGAGCAUAAACGGUGGAGUUUCACAAGUCUUUUUCCUAAGAGAGUCCUAAAUUUAACCCUUGCACAUGUGGACACUGUUAAUGAAGAUAGGAGGCCUGACUUAAGCUAGGACUACCCUUCAAAAUAGAAAGGUGAAUGCCACAUUUAUUAACGAGAUUUCUUGAGGUUCUUCUCUGUUCUACCAAGUAAGAGAGACAUUUUUCAAAAAUCCCUGUUUUUCAGAAAGGGAAACUGAGACCAGCAAUCAAUUAAGGACAUCACUGUCUCAACACAUGUGGGUAUCAGUUGUGUGGAAUAUUCAGCAUAACCUUCAAGCCUUCUAAAUCCCAGUACCAUCUUCAAAGCACAUAAGGCAUUUUGUCAGGCUAGCCAUGUGCUCCUGACAUAGAACUGAUGGCUAAACUGCUUGUGUAUUUGAUAUUUAUAAUGGAAAAGGAGAAACCAGGAAAAGAUUUUUUGUUAUCUUAGCAAAGUUCGUCAAAUAGAAAAAGGUGACUCAUCUUUGCCCUGGAAAUGUGACCAACAUUGCUGUCUCUCUGGACCCCUCAACUUUGAUCUUUCUUAUGGGAAGAUUCAGUAUGACAGUGCUACUGCUGGGCAGCUCAAGUUCAUUGUCACCAAGAAGGUCUCCUGGAGCAUACACGUGUCAGGUAACUGAGAAGCAAUAGUGUUAGAGAUGGAACAUAAAGAUUCCAUAAACAUAGAGAAUGCUUGAUUCAAGGUAAGUACAGUCCAUCCAAAUUAGAACUACCUUUUAGCUACAGUGGCUCUUGACCUGGGAAUGUACUUCCCCGAGGAUAUUUAAAAAUGCAUGAGGGCAUUAGUUGUCACAGCAACAGGGAUGAGAAAGUAGGAAGUGAGGAGAGGUGAUGGGGAAGUUUGGGAAGGACCCUACCAGCAUUUGGUGUCCAGGGGUCAGGGAUGCUAAAUUCUGGCAGUCCUCAGGGCAGUCCCACCUAAGGAAUUGCCUCACCAGAAAUGCUGAUAAUACCUGGACUGAGAAAUACUGGAAGGGGGAGGUAUUAUAUAUAAAAUAUUCAUAAUUUUAUAUAUACACAUAUAUUUACCAUGUACCAGGCAUUAGGUAUAUUAGAUGAUAAAGAAACAUAUUUGCCCUAAAGAAGCACAUAGUUGACUGGGGACAGAGCACAUUCAGCCAUGACAGUAAUAACCCAGGAGGCAAGGAGAAGGUGGGCACAGUGGUCUGGGGGUGCAAGGGCAGUUAGGGUAGGAAGGUGGGGUUUUCAGGUGAGGAAGAGCAUCUGUCAUUAACACCUGGAGGUCAGAGGACCCCAUCCCUUGGGGGUGAUGCAAGGAGCUUGAUCUGUUCUCACUUCCGUUCUGACCUGAGUGGGGACUGGGGAUUAGGAUGAGAGGGAAACAGGGGUGUGGUAAUGCAGGGCCCUGAGAACCUGUGUGGGAGUUUGGACUUUGUCCUAGAGCCUUGAGAAGCCUCACUACUUCAACUGAGGGAGUCACAGGACAAAAAAAAAAAAAAAAAAGGCAGAGCUGGUACGAUAGGAUUGAGAGUUUGUUACAGUCAUCAUUGUCACCCACUUCAGACACUGGACAAGUCCACCGAGGGCCACCCUCUCUGUGGAUCUCUGCGUGAGAUGGUCCUGCUCCUGUGUGGUCACGAAGGCCUCUGUCACCUGCAUGGCCUGAUCACCGCCCCGGUCAUCACCCCCCUGGCAAGGAGGUGCCCUUGCCAGGAGAGACCUCUUGCUGUGCUUUUGAGAUCACAGAGCAGCUGGGAGACUGGAAUGACAUGAAAGACUGACUAUAGGAGAAGACUACUGCAGACCAAAGACUAGAUCUGGGUUGGAAUUCCAACUUCACCGUUGGUUCACUUUGGGACCUCAGGUGAGUUGUUGAAUCUCAAUUUUCUCAUCUGUGGAGUGGGAUGAUGCUAAUGCCUGUCUCAUGGUGGGGGUUAUAAAUAUCAGAUGAAUUAAUACACACGAAGAACCCAGUACUCCAGAAACAUUAGCGAUCAUUCUAGCAAAGAGCCAAGCAUGGUUCAGAGUCAUUAGUUCAAAGGUUGAGCAUAUGUCCUCUGGAGCCAUACUGUUGAGUUUAAAAAUGUAGCCCUUAGACUUGUGACAGUGGACAACCUAUUUAGACUCACUCCACCUGGCUUUCCUUGUUAAUAAAACAGGGCAAGUUGAUGGCCUUUUAGAGGGCUGACACGACUUGAUUUUAACCAUGUAACCUGUCAUGACAGCCCUUGGCUUAAAGUAAGCUCUCAUAAAUAUCAGCUAUUGUUUCAAUGGAGUAAGCCAGACAAGCGAAUGGGAAGAAAGUCGGAUUCUAGACUUCGAAGGACGAGAGAGUGCUUUACAAUGACAGAGGGGGAAGGGAAGCUAGAUUGUUUAAAUGCUUAAUAAGUAUCAGGCAUUAUCAUUGAAGGCAUUCUUUGGAAGGUUAGAGAAAACAAGGUACCUCAAUGCCCACUGUAGAUUGUUGCUUCUUUCUCCCUAUUUUUGCGGCUAAUUUUCAGAAUGUAAGUCGUUUGCUCAGGAUCACGUGACAGGCGAUGGCCCCAGGAGUGUCUGACUCUACAUCUUUGUUCUUGUUUUCCACCUUGCUGAGUCCAGCUGCGUGGAGAAGGGAGAUGAUCCUCCAGGGGUGUAGAAACAACUCCAGGGGAGUCAGAACGGGUGCCUGAUUCCCACGCCCAAGCUUUCCCUCGGCUGAAGACACUGGGUGCCGGCCUCUACAUGACCACCAGGUGUCAGUGCUAACAAGGAAUUCGUCCACUGGGCUUUGCUUCAGAGAUAAGUCAGGGCGCCCCGAGGCCUUCUCCCACAAGGAGCACGGCAGAUUUGGCCAUCCAGGGAAGUUUCUUGUGAUGUAUUUCUAUCUCCUUUUCCCCCCAUUAGAUUGUAAGUCCCUUGAACCUGUCUUUCGAUAGUGUUGCCCGGUGUCUAUGAUCACCUGCCCUGUGUGUGCAUGGUCACCCAGGCUCAAAGUGUCUGUGGCAAGGUAGAUGAGGAACUGAGCCUGUAGGAGGGUGGCACACUUCCCUGAGCUCACAGUUACCAGGCAGCAGAGGCUGGAUUCAAACCCAGCCCGUCUGAGGCCAGAGUUGGGACUUGCACCCGCAGCACUUCUCGUCUCCACAGCCUCCACAGCUGCGGGCUCAGUGCUCAGCACGUUUGCAGCACCCAGCGAACGCAUGUUGAUGUUUGGUCGGUGGGUAAACCCAGCACUAUGAUCUUAUUCUCUGCAGAGGAGAUGCAGCUGCCUGGGUCCGAGACAGCAAGGGGGAGAGACAGGUGGGAAGCACUUCGUGCAAUCAACAGAGGGCAGAGGAUCACAGGGAGAGGAGGAGGUGGAGCCAUCUCUUGAUGGAGGCGAGAACAGAGCUCCAGCAGCUUUACAGGCCACCUGCAGACUCCUGCCGGCCUGGGAAGGAGCUGCUAGGAUAGCUCCUCCCAGACCUCCACCCUCCUCCGCCUCCCCACGCAUGUGAGCAUUCGGCACUGGAGAGUGACUCCAACUGUGGAGAUUUUUCAAUGACUCAUGAAACUGUAGGCCCACGCUGCACCGUGGAUCAUUUGCUUCCCUCCGGUGGCAGGAUCUCUCCCUCUCUCCCGACAGUGCCACACGCGAGAGCGUGUACGCAGAAGCGACGGUGCCAUCAGCAAUAACCACGGCCAGGUGAGAGUGGAAACCCGCUUCCCAGCUGCCAGCCAGCCGCCAGUGCCCUGAUUACCAGCCCUGAGAACACAGGUUAUCCAUUGCGUGCGCGCUGGGCCUCAGCUAAGUACCACCCAGUCAAACCAUCGUGAAGCUCCAGGAGCCCAAAGGAGGCUUAGAGACCUGAGGUUACAGUCUUGGACGGACAGUGCGUCAGAGGAGGGGUCUGCUUGGAACCGGAAGCUUCCGGCCACAGAGCCAGCGCGCAGGCUUCGGCCUGGGGUGGCUGCCUCUCGCUCCCUCGCGCACCAGAUAGGGACGAGGAAGCGUCAGCCUGGAGUCGGAGCCUUUUUCUGUUCUGCUUAGCUCAACGCCGUGAUUGCGUCCAACAGGGGCCCCGAGAGGCGGUGUUAGCGUAAUCUUGGUCUUCAGUGUCCUUCUGGGUGGGAGGCAGGUGGGGAAUGGUGCCCUCAUUACCAUGGCUAGGUUUUCCCGGAUCUUUAUGGGGGAGAGCUUUGAACACACCUCUACUGUUUUUGCUGUAAGCCUCCUCUCCUCUUCAGCAGGGCUUUGGUCUGAAGACAAGGCCCGACAUGAUUCGGGCGUGACCCUGCAGGGGCUGAGCAGCUCGGGGUGGGCCCCUCUCCUCCAGCUCCGGAGGCCAUGGGGCAUGGGGAGCCCCCGGCCCAACCUGGGGAGAGCCACGCCUCUGGGGAGGAAGAAGUGGGGAAAAUUGCAGGGCAAAGACUAGCCAGACAUAAAAGGCCGAAGCAAUUUGGAUUUCAUGACUGAAUAAAUCUCAAAGGGAGAUAUAGGGGAGCAGAAGAUUAGUCUUUGAAGACAUUUGAAAAAUCUUUAGAAAAAGAGCCCCAGUGAAAAUUUCCCUGCUGCAGCUCUCAUUUUCCUAAAAUAAUAUUGGGAGGGGUGCAUUGACGUGACUUUUCUCACUUGUCAGACUGUACUUUGACCAAGGUGGAAACUAGGAUACUUAUGGCAGAGAGAAACUGACCCUACUCAGGUCUGGUUCUCGAAACAGGAUCUUGUUUGAAGGCACCAGGUUCAAGGGCUGGUGUUGUAGAGAUUUUCUACAUUCCAUUUCCUUCCUUAUUUAACAAGAGCCGGGCCUGGUGAGCCCGACCAUAGGGUUUCCAUAGGAGGUUCAUGCAGGAAGAGAAGUGGGCAGCAGAAAACCCAGCCCUUCUGGAAGGAGCUGGAGAGAGAAGGGGGUGACAGGGAAGUUAGAGAAGCAAGGAGAACCCUCCGCUCCUGGGACCCCACGACCCCACACUUACUGUGCUGGGUGCCCUGAGCUGACUGGAACGUGGCUUCUGUAUUUGAGCCUUGUGAGUUUGGGGGGGGUGGGGGUCAGGCUGAGGACCAGUGUGUCUGAUAGGGAACAAAGGCCAGCGAGGGACGAAGAACAGAGAGAAGAGGGGAGGCAGCGGGAAGACUAGAGGAUUCCAUUGAAGGCUUCAAUUACAUUGAGGAUUCCAAUAGAAAGAGGCUGUUACUGAUGAGACCUAAAUGGGCCUGGAGGACAAAUAGCUGAGUGAGGCAUUCUUCGUCCUCUUGUGCUGCUAAACAAAACACCUGAGUGUGUGGUUUCUAAGCCACAGACACCUAUUUCUCAUAGGUUAAGGUGCUGGUAGGUUUGGCUGUUUGCUGAGGGCUCUGUCGCCUGGAGAGGAGAAAUGUCGCAUCCGCACGUGGUGCUCAGGGCUGGAGGACACGGGCCUCAGGGUGCACGAGGCCUCUUUAAUCAGGAUCCUGAUCCUGUUCUUGAGGGGAGCAGCUCUCACAGCCUAUCCACAACCACAAGGCCCACCUGUUAAUACCCUCACGUUGGCAACAGCUGAAUCAAUCUAGCAUGUGUAAUCUAUCUUCGUUUUAUUUGGAAGGCAGCCUGACCCAGCCCACAGCAGACAGGACUGGGUCAGGCUGAAGCCAAGAGCCAGAAACUCAAUCUGGUUCUUCCACUUGGCUGACAAGCACCCAUGUACUUGCUGCCUCCUAGGGUGCGCCUUAGCAAAAAGCUGGAUUGGAGGCUGAGUAGCUGGGACUUGAACCAAGCACUCUGGGAUGGGAUGUGGCUGUGUCCCCAAGCGGUGACUUCACAGAUGAGCCGAACAGCACUCCCACACCUGAAUUUUCAAAGGGACACAUUCAAACCAAAAUAAGGGAUCUCUGCCUCUCUAAGCUCUGUGCAGAGGCAUCCCAUCACACCCAGAAUAAAGUCCUCACACCCAAUCGUUGAGGGCUUUCUAAGGCAUCUCCACAGGAAGUCCUCCUUGACCAUCCAGUCCCCCUCCAGGCCUGACCCAGUUUUGUUAUUCUUCAUGACGGUGAUUACAGCUGACCCUGCGUGUCAGUGCAGGCUGCGAUAACUGCCACAUUUAUUUUCCCCAAGUUCCGGGGCUGGAAGGGCAAGAACAGCGCCCCCUGGUGAUUCUGGUAAGGGCUUCCUGGCUUGCAGACAGCGGUCUGCUCAUGGCGUCCUCGCCUGGCCUUGGCUCCGCGCAUGCUCAGAGAUGCGUCUGUCGCAACCCACCAGUCCUCUGGGAUGACGCUGAGGCCCCAUCCUGAAGCCUUUUUCAUUACCUCCUGAAUACAGCGCCGUUGGAAUGGAGAGCUUCCACCUAGGCGUGAUGGGAGAGCGGGCCACAAUCCAGUCCUGGGCAUCCUGUACCACACGCGGAACGAGAUGGCGCUCCACGGAGAGGGCUCUUUCUGUGGGUCCAUCACAAGGUCCCUGAGCCCAGGACAGGUUAGGCACUCGAUAAAUACCUGCUAAAUAAAUGGAGGGGCACGUGGUAGGUUUCCCGCCCCGCUGUACUGACUUGCGAAACAGGCGCCCCGCACUGGGCAUGUGUAUAAGCCGUCGC